rnacentral:misc_RNA from 1 species
AAGUCGUAACAAGGUUUCCGUAGGUGAACCUGCGGAAGGAUCAUUAUUGAAUUAUAAGGCUCUGAUUGUGCUGGCCUCUCGGGGCAUGUGCACGUCUCUGCCCGUUAAUCCCAACCCACCCCUGUGAACCGACCGUGUGGGGAAGCUCUGUAACGGAGCCGACUCAUGCUUUAUCAUAAACCCUGUAUGUCAUCAGAAUGUAAAUCUAUAUCCUCGCCUUAAAACCGCGUCGGUAAAAAAAAUUAAUACAACUUUCAACAACGGAUCUCUUGGCUCUG